CCUGCCCCAUCUCGUGUUGCAGGCGUGGCUGCAGUGCCAUGUCUGUGUCAAUCGGUGGCAGAGAGGAACAGGAGACUCCUUCCCUGGUGCUCUGAUCCCUGUGAGCUCCCAGGAUUGCUCAACAACCUGACAUU
ensembl:snoRNA